AAAAUAACUAAGAAUAUAGUAAAUAAUUAGCCUUAUUACUACCAAAAUGAGUGUGUAGGAGUUAUUGAUUAUCUUAACUUUGAUCCUAGAACUGGGAUUGAGAGCUUUGAUCAUUAGUUUAGAUUGUAAACUUACUAUGUGAUUAGGUUAUAAACUUACUAUAUAAUUUAUGAAAAUCAAUUUCAAAAGUUAAUUUCAUGAUU
rnacentral:misc_RNA from 1 species